CUGAGUGCGGGACGCGCGCUUCUUCGGUGUGGCGGUACUUUUUUCAUGUGUUCCUUGCCGUGGAUGCGUCUGUGCGCGCUAAGAAUGAACUGUGCUACAACUGACCUCUGGAAAUUUCGUCCAUUGGACUAUCUGGAACACUUGUGCAGCGAUCACAAGAGUCUGAAAAGAUGCCCAUUGACAUGGUGUGAAACAAGUGCCUUUGCCCUAAAGAAGUCAUGUUCGACAACACAUCGGGGUCGAUGUCGUCUACGCUCGGAAUAAUGUGCGUCUGGAAAAACUUGGGCAAGGUAGAAGCGGACUGCCGCGAACGGCGCUAAGGAAUGUGGUGCUGAUGUCGACAGCGCAAGAGUGAGGAAUUUAUGCAAGCUGCUUUAGAACGGGUGUGCUUCACGUCUCUCCUCUUCAUUCAUCACGGCGCCACCACCUGGGCCAGACAGUAGACUUGCGUGAAAAAGUAUUCCACAGCAAAUGCAUCUUGUUACUUUCCAAUGACACUCAAACCAGCAGGUGAUGGUGACGUGGACUCGAAUAAGCAGGUCGUGCCUCAAUGGCAGGGUGCUGUGCCCAACCUGCAUUGUCCCAGCCACCGUCGGGCAUAGCCUGACGAUCUCGGCCAACGAUGGACGAAGGAACGACACUCCCGUCAGUUAGAAGCCAUUGAUACAAGACCGUCUAAAGUCAUUAGACCUUGUGGACCAACCCUGUAGACACCAGCAACCGUGCAUUUCGGUCAAUUAUGAACUUCCUAAGGACAACAGGCCUAGUGGAUGAACUAUAAGGCUCCGCCCCAUAGGAGAUAUGCGUGCGUGUUACAUUCAAUUCAUCUUCGUGUCACUCAUGCCAACUCACACGCAAUGGAGUAGGAUGUCUCAGCUUAAGCGGCGAAACAUACAAAGAUAUUGUCAUCGCAUAUUUGUUGUUGCUGUUGUUUCGCUUUCUUUUGUAUAACAGAAGUUCGAAAUUUUGAUAGUUUCUAUCAAGGCAGGUCCUGAAUUUUUAAAAGUCAUCUACAGCCUUGAAGCUAUCUUUGAAGCUUCUUCCGGUUAUGUAUAAGUGACCGAGAACGAUGAUAAAAUUCAAUUUUCUAUCUUA